rnacentral:rRNA from 1 species
UGAGGAAUAUUGGUCAAUGGACGUAAGUCUGAACCAGCCAAGUCGCGUGAGGGAAGACUGCCCUAUGGGUUGUAAACCUCUUUUAUAAGGGAAGAAUAAGUUCUACGUGUAGAAUGAUGCCUGUACCUUAUGAAUAAGCAUCGGCUAACUCCGUGCCAGCAGCCGCGGUAAUACGGAGGAUGCGAGCGUUAUCCGGAUUUAUUGGGUUUAAAGGGUGCGUAGGCGGUUUAUUAAGUUAGUGGUUAAAUAUUUGAGCUAAACUCAAUUGUGCCAUUAAUACUGGUAAACUGGAGUACAGACGAGGUAGGCGGAAUAAGUUAAGUAGCGGUGAAAUGCAUAGAUAUAACUUAGAACUCCGAUAGCGAAGGCAGCUUACCAGACUGUAACUGACGCUGAUGCACGAGAGCGUGGGUAGCGAACAGGAUUAGAUACCCUGGUAGUCCACGCCGUAAACGAUGCUCACUGGUUCUGUGCGAUAUAUUGUACGGGAUUAAGCGAAAGUAUUAAGUGAGCCACCUGGGGAGCACGUCGGCAACGAUGAAACUCAAAGGAAUUGACGGGGGCCCGCACAAGCGGAGGAACAUGUGGUUUAAUUCGAUGAUACGCGAGGAACCUUACCUGGGUUUAAAUGGGAAAUGUCGUAUUUGGAAACAGAUAUUCUCUUCGGAGCGUUUUUCAAGGUGCUGCAUGGUUGUCGUCAGCUCGUGCCGUGAGGUGUCGGGUUAAGUCCCAUAACGAGCGCAACCCUUACCGUUAGUUGCUAGCAUGUAAUGAUGAGCACUCUAACGGGACUGCCACCGUAAGGUGAGAGGAAGGCGGGGAUGACGUCAAAUCAGCACGGCCCUUACGUCCGGGGCCACACACGUGUUACAAUGGGGGGUACAGAGGGCCGCUGUCCGGUGACGGUCGGCCAAUCCCUAAAACCCCUCUCAGUUCGGACUGGAGUCUGCAACCCGACUCCACGAAGCUGGAUUCGCUAGUAAUCGCGCAUCAGCCAUGGCGCGGUGAAUACGUUCCC